UGCCUAUGAUGCUAGAAAUGGUUAACGUGUAAUGUAUGAAAUUUCAUGAUUACCAUCACCUACUGCCUUCCUUCUGAGGCU
rfam:Lupinus angustifolius cultivar Tanjil contig_23262, whole genome shotgun sequence.